rnacentral:rRNA from 1 species
AACGAACGCUGGCGGCAGGCCUAACACAUGCAAGUCGAGCGGACAUCUUCGGAUGUUAGCGGCGGACGGGUGAGUAACGCGUGGGAACGUGCCCUUUGCUUCGGAAUAGCCUCGGGAAACUGGGAGUAAUACCGGAUGUACCCUUUGGGGGAAAGAUUUAUCGGCAAAGGAUCGGCCCGCGUUGGAUUAGGUAGUUGGUGGGGUAAUGGCCUACCAAGCCGACGAUCCAUAGCUGGUUUGAGAGGAUGAUCAGCCACACUGGGACUGAGACACGGCCCAGACUGCUACGGGAGGCAGCAGUGGGGAAUCUUAGACAAUGGGGGAAACCCUGAUCUAGCCAUGCCGCGUGAGCGAUGAAGGCCUUAGGGUUGUAAAGCUCUUUCACCGGGGAAGAUAAUGACGGUACCCGGAGAAGAAGCCCCGGCUAACUCCGUG